UCUAAUAUGGCAGAAAUAAUGCAAUGAACUUAAGAUUCAUCCAUAAAGAAUAAUCUUUUAUUAGAA
rnacentral:tRNA from 1 species